UCCAUAGUCCCACACAGCCCAAAUAUCCCCAAAAUCUGAGACCUAACCCAAUCCACCCGCUCCAUCCCACCAGACUCCCCUCCGCCGCCGCGACCUAUGGCUCCAUCCCCUGUCCCUGCCGCCGGAAGUGAAGGUGUCCUCAUCCACGCGCUCCCGGACCCCCAUCCCUGCUGCCGCCGGUGAAGGUAUCUUCGUCAUCCUCGCGCUCCCCCUCGCUGCUGUCACCGUCGUCCGUGCACACCGCCGUGCGGACCGUGCCCCUCAACCCCCUUCCAUCCCUGCCACCACCGGGGUCGCGGCUGCCAAUAGCUCCGACGCCGACCUCAGUACAUCCGCCGCCCUAACCCCCGCCCUCCACCACGUCCCCGGCCCUUGUUCCGGCCGUCGCCGCUCCUUUUCUCUCCUGCAAAGCCCCUUCUGCAGAUCCAUCAGUCGCAUGCCCGUUUCUGCAGAGCGGCAUCGUCUUGGCCAUAUCUCUCCAAGUGCUGCAGGCCAGAGGAAGUUGUCUUUGCUUGAAAAGGGAUUGAGUGCUACUGAAGUUAGUGUUUACUUAGAUUUGGGUGGAUGGGUUGUUGUCAUUGUGAUGCAACAGAGGAAUCAGCGCUGGCCACGAGGAGAUUAGAGGCUUGAGAUGGAUGCUACGAUGGUGGUGGCAAAGUUAGGAGCUUGAGAUUUACAGGGACGAGGUGUAUGAUAGCACAGAUUAAUGUUCAAGUCUUCAUCAGCAGCACCUUGACAUGAAUCCUAAGAUCCAUCGGCAUUAUUUCUUGAUUAUUUUCUAGGGAAGAAUCCGAAGAUGAAUUGUUUCUUUAUUUUUUAACAAAUUUCAUGGCUUAGCAUCUUAUGUGUUCCAUCUAACUCUACCUGCAAUUUAUAUCUACUCCAAGUACACCACAUUCAGAAUUGAUAUACAGCCUACAGUUAGAUCAGUUCAGAUUUUGCCAUGACAAUAUUACCGGUAUUAUUCAUGAUUCCUACGUUGUGUAUAUCACUGUAGAAUACUACCUCUAUUCCAGAAUAUGGUUGUAUAUAGCAAAAUAGUUGUAUAAGUCUUUUAAAUUUAUGUUCUUCUGUACAUUGUCCUCUACUACCAUUAAUUUUCCCUUUUUUCAAAUUGAAAUUUGAAAAGAGCAUGAGUUUUGAUAGGAUUUUGUAUAUCCUUCAGUUGCUUGCUGUAACAUGUGCCUUCUGGUACAUUGAUGUUGAUAGAAGCAUACCAUUUUCCUAUAAUUUCUUCAUCACAAAGAUGUUCUAUUUGUUUAGUUGGCACCAACAUCCAGCUGAAUGUUUAUAGGAGGGUUAUUAGUAAAGCAAAUAUGUUCAUGAGGAAAUGUACCAGCAAAAAAAUCGAGCCAAAGUGUAAUUCAAAAGCUCUUAACAAAUUUUGCGUGUUCCUUAUGUUUUUAUUGUAAUUCUUAUUACUUUUAGCUGGCAUUGAUAUACGAAAGAAUAUCUUGUCGCUUUUUUGCCCUCUCAUCGACCAUUGUAUUUUUUUAGUCAUAUCAAUCUAUCUAAAAGAAAGAAUGCAACACCUUAUGUUUUUAUAUUUUUGGAAAUGUCUUAGGCGUGUUGUUUCAUAUAACUAUAUGCUAUGCUGCCUAUGCCUUUUCCCGUAACCUUAGUAUGUUCAUUGUUUUAUCUUUCAUAUCCUUCAUCUUAAACUGAAAAGUAUGAACCAUUGCAUUGUGCUAAACUUUAUCAGUGAAUUUCGUGUAACAAGCUGAAAUAGAAUUUUUCUCUGUUGCAAUUGGAAGCAUGUCACAUGAGUAUUGAGCUGCCAUUAUCUACAAAUUCUUUAUUUGUUGAUAUGAACAUUAGUUGCAACAUGAAUAAUCAAUGUUAGUCGACAAUGUUGCUUCAUGUGCAUGAGCAUAUGGUGUAUCUCUGACACCAUUCAUUUUGAACCACUAAAAUAAUAGAAGUGGUUUGAUUCGUAAGUUAUUUUACAGGUUUCUAUACAACACUUAUUUGUUUUGUAUUCGCUGCAACGUAUGAACUUGAUUGCUUUUCAAAAAUGUCGAACCACUAGAACCACUAAAAUAUGUACGCCCUAUUGCAAAACACGGCCCUUGUGCUAGAACAAACAUAACUAACUACAUCCUGUUCAUCCCUAUCCUGGCUAGAAGUAGUAGAGAGAUGAGAGUUGAAUCUUAUAGUAUGAUGCGUACUUUAUGAUUUUAUUGAUGGUGAGCCGAGUUAUCUAUAUUGAACAUAUUUUUCUUUUUUGCGGGAUGGUUGUUACAUGUUUGCGCAUUUUUUCAGAGCAAUUUGCAGUGGAAGAAGCAACCUCAUAUUGAUAAGAAGGCAAUGGUUAUUCUAUGAAGUAGCGGUUAUUGUUGUAGCUCAAGGAUGACAAGAAGGCAACUAAUGUGCCCAGGAGGUGUGCAGGUAAUCAGCCACCUAGUACACAUAGAUGUGGUGACUUUGGAGUGUUAUAGAGCAUUUGGCUGUACCAGCCAACUCAAUUGUAAUCAUGAAGCUUAUGUGUGUUCUGGACCAUUUGGUGCUUAAGUGUUAUGGAUUAGAAAUCUUGUGCUCAUGGAUGUAACUCAAGUGUUUUGGACCAUUUAGCAAAUAGGGGUACUUUUAUGUGACUUGUGUUUCCUGGAGGGUUGUAAGAUAGACAAACUUUGCUAUGUCAAGAUUGACUUGUGUUUAAGCCUGUGAUCAAUAUAUAUGUAUUUUUGGUACCAGAUUAUCAAUGAUUGUGCAAUAUGUGUUCAUCUUGA